UGGGAAUACAUGCAGUAAAGGGAAGCUGGAGUUAGGGAGCACCGUUGUAGUGAGCAACGUCGACGCGACACAUGGCGGGGGAGGGACAACUCGGACCCUCCGAUUUGUGCCCACAAUGUGGACCAUCCGAUUUGUCAUAGAGAUUUCGGAUUGUCCGAUUUGUCCUUACCUGAUCCCACAAUAUGGUAAAGCACACACGCACUAUAAUUCUAUUUUUAUUUAUUUUAUAAAAUUACAUUAUUAUCCCUAUUUUUAUUUAAAUUUUCUAAUCUACCUCACACCACUCCAAACCCUAACACUACACUCACCGCACCUCACACUCACGGCGAACACACACACACAAGUCACCCACACUCACAAAGCAAAGAAUAGAAAAAAGAAAAGAAAGAAAAGAGAGUGGAGGUUGCGAGAGAAGAGGGAGAAUCCGAGAGAGAGAGAGAGAGAGAGUGCCGGGAAAGGGGGGAGCUGUCCGCGCUGCCACACAGCGUCGCCGCCAGACCGCGUCCAGCCCGCACUGCCUCUGCGCCAUGUGCCGCCGUCAAGCUUGCCUCACUGUUCGUCCUUGUUGCCGCCAACUACGCUGUCGCGGAAGGGAGAUGCACGAGAGAGGAGUGGCUGAUUCUGUCACCACCGCCGCGCCGUGCUCCACGCUGUCGCCGCCUCUAUUCCAUCACGAGAGAAGGACACGCAAGGGGGGAAACAGAACCGCGAGAGAGCUCAGCCACGGAGGGAGGAGAUGCGCGCUUAACCCAUCACCGAACUGCGUCGCUGUCCGUGAAGUUGUCUCCACCGCCGCUGUCGGAGGUUGUCACCGUGCCUUGCCUCUGCCGCCGGAGACCGCCGUUGGAUCCUCUGACUCGGGUCGAGCUUCGAGUCUUGCGUGCUGAGUUCAAUGGCUGUUGCAUGCGUCCUCAAGCUGCUACGUCGUCACUGGAGCUGCCUUUCCUCCGUUUUCUCAAUUAUUCGUGAGCCCAGUAAGUCAUUCCUUGUUCGAACUCUUUCAGUUGCUGUUUUGUUAUAGAUUAUUGAAUUUUACAGGACGUUAAUAUAUCAAGAUUGAGUGUUGUUGUGAGUGGCACUUUUGGGGAUGUUACGGCUGCGGGAAAUAGUCGGACUCGAUGCCGUUCGAUUUCAGGCCGAGGAGAAAAGGGAUUCUCUGAUGCGUUUGGUUGUGGGUUCGCUUGCUGAGGAGACGGAUGAAAAAGCCCACGAAGGGUUGUUUUGCAUUUUGCUUAGUCGAUAAUGCUAUUUAGUUUCUAUUUACUUACCCCUUCGCCAUCAAUAUUAUAUUAUGUAAGAUGGAUAGGAGUUGUAUAAUUUGUAUGUAUAUAAUAUGUAUAGGUUACUUGAGUAAGAAGUUUUGUACAUGUAUAUGCUUGUUUUGUUUCAUUUAAAGAGUAUAUUUUUUCCGGUUUUCAAAAAGAACAGUGAUACAAUUUCAAGUCAAAUACUCCUAUUUUAUUAUUAAGUAUAUGAAGUCGUCAUAAUACUUCUUACUAUCAGAGUAACGUAGCCAAAAGCGUGACAUUCUGAUAGUGAGGGUGUUACAUUGUGGCCAUCAACCUUUCCCAUAUUGAUUUAUCUACUAUUGUUUUGCUUCCUUUUUUUCCACCACCAUGCCUGCUCUUCCCAUGCCUUUCAUGCAGUUAUACACAAUCAAAGAGGGUAAUAAGUUGACACUUGAUAUUGUCCUCUCUAAUAAAAAAUUCUGAUAAUCUUAAAAUGACUAACUAAUUUAUUCUCGUUAUUUGUAUAAAAUAAUGUAUCAGUCAAUAUUAGUAUUUUUUUUCCAAUUUUCCACAGUAUUCUUAACUCACCAAAUUAAGGAUUGAUUCGUUGCAGAUUUGAGCUCUAUUUAAGGAUUUGUCAUUAAACAAUAAAUUGCUGUAUACAUAGGGCGGGACUCGAACUCACAAUGCUUAUUUAAGCAGAUGAGUAAGCUAACUAUUCGACCAACCCAAAUUAAUUUCAAUACUAAUAUGUUUGUUUUUAGAAUAAUAUGAGACGAACUUAUUCGAUGAAUUUGUUUAAUAAACAAAAUAUUUGUUAUUUUCAAAUUUUAGAAGAUUUUUUGUCCCUCUAUAUUUUUCAUUAAGAAAAAAAAUUGGGAAUUCAUUCGUCAAUAAUUGUAUGUACUUUUUGUUUGUCCAUGUACUUAUUAUGUCUUCUUCAUAGUAAUAAUAUGAAAAAGGAGCAUGACUUGAAAUUUUGUUAAGCGAUUUUUCAAACACAGCAAUAAAUUUCUCGUUGGUUAUUCGGUCUAUGUCAUGGUCAAGUUCAUCAAUGACUAAAGCAACUGUUUCCUCCACUUCUAUUGAUGCUUUAACAAAUGUGAUGUUCAUCAUUAUUUAUUUCAGUUCAGAUUGCGAGACGCAAUUGUUUUUUUUCGAACAAUCUGUUAAUUAUUG